UGGAGACGAUUUAGGUCAUUAGAUGUUAUUGGGAAAAGGGCAUUAAAGAGUAGGGUAUGUGAACUAGCAUACCCAACAAUGACUCCAUUGUGUCCACCAUCGAGAGAACUAAAAACCAAAGGAAGAGUGAAGAAGAAAGGGAAAAACCAGCAGAAUAUGAUGUUAUAGGGACCUUCGUAUCAUGAGUAUGUUAAUAAGGAAUCUCAAUCUUCACAAAGGUAAUCUCAACCAUCACAGACUUCGAAGAAGUUAAAAUUAUA
rnacentral:lncRNA from 1 species